UAUUCAGCCUCCAUUCCUGAAGCCUUUUAAAAUGAGUAAAUUAGAUUAGUGUCUACUAAUAUCAGAUAAUAAUAUGUACUUUUAUGUUCCCAAUGCCAUGCUGCUUAUUGAGUAAUUGUUUUUGGCGGAGCUAUAGAGCUGCUUACACUUAUAGCUUAGGAAGAGAUAAGGUGGGAGGAGGAGGAGGAGAAAGGAAGAGCCUCAUGCACAUACAUGAAUGAUAUGCAAUUGCAUAUUAAGCAUUACCAAUUGGAAGAGGAAUUCAUGAG
rnacentral:misc_RNA from 1 species